rnacentral:rRNA from 1 species
CAAUAGCGUAUAUUUAAGUUGUUGCGGUUAAAAAGCUCGUAGUUGGAUUUCUGCUGAGAACGACCGGUCCGCCCUCUGGGUGUGUAUCUGGCUCUUUCUUGGCAUCUUCUUGGUGAACGUUGCUGCACUUGACUGUGUGGAGCGCUACCCAGGACUUUUACUUUGAGGAAAUUAGAGUGUUUCAAGCAGGCAUACGCCUUGAAUACAUUAGCAUGGAAUAAUAAGAUAGGACCUCGGUUCUAUUUUGUUGGUUUCUAGAGCUGAGGUAAUGAUUAAUAGGGAUAGUUGGGGGCAUUCGUAUUUAACUGUCAGAGGUGAAAUUCUUGGAUUUGUUAAAGACGGACUACUGCGAANGNAUUUGCNAAGGAUGUUUNCAUUG